AACAUGACCAAAAUGGUCAAUUGACCCCCUAAGGAGUUAUUGCCCUUUAUAGUCAUUUUUUAACAAUUUUCAUAAAAUUUGUAAAUUUUUACUAACAUUUUCCACUGUAACUACUGGGCCAAGUUCAUUAUAGAUAGAGAUAAUUGUAAGCAGCAAGAAUGUUCAGUAAAGUAAGAUCUACAAACACAUCACCAUCACCAAAACACAAUUUUGUCAUGAAUCCAUCUGUGUCCUUUGUUUU
rnacentral:lncRNA from 1 species